rnacentral:rRNA from 1 species
GACGAACGCUGGCGGCGUGCUUAACACAUGCAAGUCGAACGAUGAAGAAAGGAAUUGAAGCUUCGGCAGAAAUUCAUUUCGGAUUAGUGGCAGACGGGUGAGUAACGCGUGAGCAACCUACCUCUUACAAAGGGAUAGCCUCGGGAAACCGGGAUUAAUACCAUAUAACAUUGCGACGAAGCAUUUCGAUGCAAUCAAAGCUACGGCGGUAAGAGAUGGGCUCGCGUCCCAUUAACCAGAUGGUGAGGUAACGGCUCACCAUAGUAACGAUGGGUAACCGGCCUGAGAGGGUGAACGGUCACACUGGAACUGAGACACGGUCCAGACUCCUACGGGAGGCAGCAGUGGGGAAUAUUGCACAAUGGAGGGAACUCUGAUACAGCGACGCCGCGUGAGUGAUGAAGGAAUUCGUUUCGUAAAACUCUGUUCUAUGGGAAGAAAAGGACUGUACCAUAGGAGAAAGCUCCGGCUAAAUACGUG